CCGGCGAGGGGAGUGAAAAAGAACCUGAAACCGUGUACGUACAAGCAGUGGGAGCCCCACCACUAAGCCAGUGGUGAACUCCACAUACGCUCCUUUGCUGAGGAUACGGUUAACGGAGCGCAAGCGACGUUCAACCGCAAAAGAAGCAGAGGGGGCUUAGUGGUGGGGUGACUGCGUACCUUUUGUAUAAUGGGUCAGCGACUUAUAUUCUGUAGCAAGGUU
rnacentral:rRNA from 1 species